CAGAAAAAGAGGAAGAAGACGAAGAAGAAAAAGGAGAAGCGGAAGAAGAAAAAGGGGAAGAUUCUGGGGGAGCUUGUUCAGGUUCCAGAGAAGAAGAGCGUGUAACUUCUUUCCCCAUUUUCCUCCUUCUCCCUCUUUUCUCUUUUUCUUUUUUUUCUUUUUCUUUU
rnacentral:ribozyme from 13 species